rnacentral:rRNA from 1 species
GGGCCAGACUCCUACGGGAGGCAGCAGUGAGGAAUAUUGGUCAAUGGGCGGGAGCCUGAACCAGCCAAGUCGCGUGAGGGAUGACGGCCCUAUGGGUUGUAAACCUCUUUUGCCGGGGAGCAAAGUGCCGCACGUGUGCGGUUUGGAGAGUACCCGUAGAACAAGCAUCGGCUAACUCCGUGCCAGCAGCCGCGGUAAUACGUAGGGGGCAAGCGUUAUCCGGAUUUACUGGGUGUAAAGGGAGCGUAGACGGCGUGCCAAGUCUGAUGUGAAAGGCCGGGGCUCAACCCCGGGACUGCAUUGGAAACUGGCAUGCUGGAGUGCCGGAGGGGCAAGCGGAAUUCCUAGUGUAGCGGUGAAAUGCGUAGAUAUUAGGAGGAACACCGGUGGCGAAGGCGGCUUGCUGGACGGUAACUGACGUUGAGGCUCGAAAGCGUGGGGAGCAAACAGGAUUAGAUACCCUAGUAU